UGUUCGUAUGUAUUCGGUUGAUAAGAGGUCAGAGUUCCUCAUCGCGUCUUUCCAGUGAAACGCCAUCGUUUCACAGAUCCUCUGUAUUUCAGAAGCCCUGUUUAGCACUUGCUGCUCAACGGCGGGAGAGAGAGGGACGAUGGAUCAAUUCGGAGGUGGGUGGGCAAUGAUUCCAAACGUGCAGACUCACAGUAAUACAUCGACACCAUCAAAUCAGGAUCAUAUAUUUCUCCAGCAGCAGCAGCAGCAGCAAUUUCACUAUCAACAGCAACAGCAGCAAUUCCAACAACAGCAAUUUCAUCAACAACAGCAGUUGCAGCAGGCGCAACAGCAACAGCAACAGCGGACCAUACAACAGCAGCAGCAGCAAAACCAUCACCACCAGUCACUUGCCUCGCACUUCCACCUCCUCCCCGUAGUGGAGAAUUUAGCGGAUGCUAUCGAGAAUGGAACGAGGGACCAGCACUCUGACGCGUUGGUUAAUGACUUGAACAACCAGUUUGAGAAGUGUCAGCAGCUGCUAAACUCGAUUGCCGGAUCCAUCAGCACUAAGGCCAUGACUGUUGAAGGACAGAAGCAAAAGCUUGAGGAAAGUGAACAAUUGCUGAAUCAAAGGAGGGAUCUCAUUGCAAAGUUUAGAAACUCUGUUGAAGACAUUGUCAAGACUGAGCUAUAACUGCUUGUCGCCCUGCCUAACAAGACUUUGUACAAAUGGUUCAUGCUUGGUGUUUAAUCAAAUUAGCUCAUAGGCAUUGAUGUAUGUGAAUGGCCGAACAUUGGUAAAGAAGGAAACAAUUGGGAGUAGAUCUUGUGUCUUUGGUGGGUGAGUACUCAUUUUAUCAAACCACAUUUCUACACUAGUUAUCUAGAUUAAGCCUUCUCUCAUUGUUUAUCAACAAUCUGCUACUUCUCAAGUAAUCACAAGAACAAAGUAAUUCUGAUUCAACCAACCAAAGAGUACAGAUUAACGCCUUUUCAUCUUUUUGGCCUUCUGAUUUCACGUCGAGAUGUUGUUUUUUCUUCUUCAAAUCUUACUUGAUAGGAUGAAGGUGAGCAUCAUAAUACGUGGAAGGUUUGAAGGAGACCCAGAAAAGCUAAAGCUGUAUUUGUAGGAAGAGUGUGGAAUUAUAUACUUUUUGGUUGGUUGAGCAACAGAGUUCAUCCCUGUAUUGUGGCUGAGGAGAGGUGUAAUUCAUAUGACUCAAAAUGUGUUUGAUAUUAGCAUGCCAGUUAUCCAUGGUAUUUUGAAUAUUUAUGGUUAUUUUUGAAAUAAACGGAUAAAAAUGUAUUUUACACGA